CCUACGGGGCGCAGCAGUGAGGAAUAUUGGUCAAUGGCCGGAAGGCUGAACCAGCCAUGCCGCGUGAAGGUCAGUGCCCUAUGGGCGUUAAACUUCUUUUGUGCGGGAGCAAUAAUGGUCACGUGUGGCCAGACGAGAGUACCGUACGAAUAAGCAUCGGCUAACUCCGUGCCAGCAGCCGCGGUAAUACGGGGGAUGCAAGCGUUAUCCGGAUUUAUUGGGUUUAAAGGGUGCGUAGGCUGUGAGGUAAGUCAGCGGUGAAAUGCCCCCGCUCAACGGGGUGAAGUGGCAUUGAUACUGGCGUGCUGGAAGGCGGAUGCCGUGGGAGGAAGGUGUGGUGUAGCGGUGAAAUGCAUAGAUAUCACACAGAACACCGAUUGCGAAGGCAUCUCACGAAUCCGCGAUUGACGCUGAUGCACGAAAGCGUGGGUAUCAAACAGGAUUAGAUACCCCAGUAGUC
rnacentral:rRNA from 1 species